GGUACCGACUUGCAGAACAUCUCGCGCAGACUUUGACAGUUCAUGUUGAGUAGAAUGUUGCGUGAUGGUGGCGAGCAUUGCCCUAGUAUUGCCGGUCCUCAGCCAGACUAGCGUGGCAUCCUGGGCGCAUAGCGAGCGUUUCCUAAGCGACGCUAGUAGAAUCUACACAGUCUUACUGUUUUCCUCUGAGUGAGAACUAUUUAAAAUUUUGUAGAGUAUCGUCAGAACCAGUGGUGCGCGGCGCGCAAAGUCCGCAAUUUACUUGCUUAUGAAGGGAUGCAGAAGUUCACAAUUUCUUCCUUCAAAUGCCACAUCUGUUGAAGGGGAGAGGUUUCUCCCCCCUCUACUGAUUUAUCAACUUGGACUUGGGAUAAAGGAAAUAGCGAUGGUCACUGUCCAAGUUGCAGGUGUGAAUAGUCGGAAAGGAAUUCACGGUGGUCAAUGUACAUGUUGCAGCUGUGAAUAGUCGGAAAGGAAUUCACGAUAGUCACCGUCCAAGUUGCAGGUGUGGAUAGUGGGAAAGGAAUUCACGGUGGUCACUGUCCAUGUUGCAGCUGUGAAUAGUCGGAAAGGAAAUCACGAUGGUCACUGUCCAUGUUGGAGCGGCACACUUUGGUCAUGGCACAUUCUAGUAUAUCUACGUGGACAGCAGUCACAGCACCAUGAUGCCGGAGUUCAGGGAUUGUCCAAAUCACUCGUUUUAUCAAACUAAUUAUUUGUCAUACCCUCAGUCUUAGGAAUAUCUCAGUAAUGAUAUUGAUUUUCAACGUCUUUCUAGAUUUACACUGCAAUCCAUCUCAAAAGACAAAAAAAAUGAUGCAGUUUGAAAUCUUGAAUCUUGUUGCCGAGCACGUGCCACAUGCAGAGAAGGUACGCUUUUCAACGGCCAAAGAGAGUUGGAACGCUUGUGUCUUUGUGGGUAACUUGAACAUUGGGGCUCAUGCAAAAUCGCAUCGAUUUUGGGAUUUCCCCGCAACGUUUUGCUUCAGCAAAAAUGUUGUGCUGGACCACAUUCCUGUCACUUCGCAGUGGCUUAUUGUUGGUGCAGUUAGUAUCCCACCCUCCCAUCCCUGACUUCUGGGUGUGUGUUUAUCGAUAUCUUAUUGGUUUUCUUAUUGCCAAUAUU